rnacentral:lncRNA from 1 species
AAUUAGAAGUUUUAACCCAUAAUUCAUUAGAUAACUUAUGUUUGACAAAAAUUGAUAUAAAUUUAUAAAUUUAUUUAAAGUUGUUUUUGGUAAUAAUUACAAACAUAUUUUUAAUUAUUUUUUAACAUUAAAAAAUACAUAUCUCUAACGACUUAAAAUUAAAUAUCUAAAUCUAAGAUACGCACCAAAAAAGACAUAAGAAACAAAAAAAACAAAAAAAACUACUUUAUAGUCAUUUAAAUUUGUAAAACUAAAUUACAUAUGUCACUAUUAAUUUACAAGCAUGCAUUUUUAU